rnacentral:misc_RNA from 1 species
UAGCACCUCGGGCCUCUCAGCGGCCCAUCUCUCCACUUAUCUGCCGCGUCGGGGCUCUUUCAUUGAAUGUGCGCUUCUGUGGUUCUCUGUCUCAUGGCGAGUGAGGGAGGGUGCGCCGUUGUUCUUCGUGCGUUUCUGUUCUGCUUGUCGUAUGUACAGUCUUUUCACUAUUUUUGCGACGCUGUGCCAGUGCGUAUGCGUACGCCCGUAUGCGCAUCGCGUGCCCCUGGAUCCCGUUGGUGCAUGUACGCACCGCCAACAUGUAAACGAUCUGCUUUGUGCAUGCGUUAGUGUGUGUGUUUGAACCUCUGAGUACCGCGAUAGCGUUUGGCCAUUGCCCCCUCCUGUCCCCUCCCCCCUCACCCACUUGAAAGCCGCUUCAAAGGAGAAGGAAUACCCCGUCAUUCUCCACGACGCACGCGACAUUGCCAGUGCAGAUGGCGAACCUGUCCCGCGAUCAACAAGGCCAUGCAGUAGUACCAAGGAAGCCUGCACUUAACUUCUGAGUGGCACAGAAAGUCCGUUGCCUUUGCUGCACUGAAGCUGCUCGUCUUCUUGCGUGUCUGCCUCCUUGUGCGCCCUCGCCUUCUUUAUGUCUCCACUUCAGUUGCUUCGCCUACUUCUCCAUUUGCUUCUCACCGAAAG